rnacentral:rRNA from 1 species
CCACGCUGUAAACGAUGUCGAUUUGGAGGUUGUUCCCUUGAGGAGUGGCUUCCGGAGCUAACGCGUUAAAUCGACCGCUGGGGAGUACGGCCGCAAGGUUAAAACUCAAAUGAAUUGACGGGGGCCCGCACAAGCGGUGGAGCAUGUGGUUUAAUUCGAUGCAACGCGAAGAACCUUACCUACUCUUGACAUCCAGAGAAUUUAGCAGAGAUGCUUUAGUGCCUUCGGGAACUCUGAGACAGGUGCUGCAUGGCUGUCGUCAGCUCGUGUUGUGAAAUGUUGGGUUAAGUCCCGCAACGAGCGCAACCCUUAUCCUUUGUUGCCAGCACGUUAUGGUGGGAACUCAAAGGAGACUGCCGGUGAUAAACCGGAGGAAGGUGGGGAUGACGUCAAGUCAUCAUGGCCCUUACGAGUAGGGCUACACACGUGCUACAAUGGCGUAUACAAAGAGAAGCGACCUCGCGAGAGCAAGCGGAACUCAUAAAGUACGUCGUAGUCCGGAUUGGAGUCUGCAACUCGACUCCAUGAAGUCGGAAUCGCUAGUAAUCGUAGAUCAGAAUGCUACGGUGAAUACGUUCCCGGGCCUUGUACACACCGCCCGUCACACCAUGGGAGUGGGUUGCAAAAGAAGUAGGUAGCUUAACCUUCGGGAGGGCGCUUACCACUUUGUGAUUCAUGACUGGGGUGAAGUCGUAACAAGGUAACCA